GCCGGAGUGGAGGAACUGGCGAUACUCGCGGGUCUCAAAAACCCGUGCCCGCAAGGGCGUGUGGGUUCGAAUCCCACCUCCGGCA
rnacentral:tRNA from 1 species